AGGCUCCUCUGUCCAUGGGAUUCUCCAGGCAAGAAUACUGGAGUGGUGCUCACUUCGGCAGCACACAUACUAAAAUUCGAAUGAUACAGAGAAGCUUAGCAUGGCCCCUGCACAAGUAUGACACGCAAAUUCGUGAAACGUUCCAUAUUUUU